rnacentral:rRNA from 1 species
UACGUAGGGGGCAAGCGUUGUCCGGAAUCAUUGGGCGUAAAGAGCGUGUAGGCGGCUCGGUAAGUCCGCUCUGAAAGCCCGGGGCUCAACCCCGGGAGGCGGGCGGAUACUGUCGGGCUAGAGUCCGGAAGAGGCGAGUGGAAUUCCUGGUGUAGCGGUGAAAUGCGCAGAUAUCAGGAGGAACACCAAUGGCGAAGGCAGCUCGCUGGGACGGUACUGACGCUGAGGCGCGAAAGCGUGGGGAGCAAACAGG